GACGAACGCUGGCGGCGUGCUUAACACAUGCAAGUCGAACGGAAAGGCCCUGCUUUUGUGGGGUGCUCGAGUGGCGAACGGGUGAGUAACACGUGAGUAACCUGCCCUUGACUUUGGGAUAACUUCAGGAAACUGGGGCUCAUACCGGAUAGGAGCUCCUGCUGCAUGGUGGGGGUUGGAAAGUUUCGGCGGUUGGGGAUGGACUCGCGGCUUAUCAGCUUGUUGGUGGGGUAGUGGCUUACCAAGGCUUUGACGGGUAGCCGGCCUGAGAGGGUGACCGGCCACAUUGGGACUGAGGUACGGCCCAGACUCCUACGGGAGGCAGCAGUGGGGAAUAUUGCACAAUGGGCGGAACCCUAAUGCAGCAACGCCGCGGGCGGGAUGACGGCCUUCGGGUUGUAAACCGCUUUCGCCUGUGACGAAGCGUGAGUGACGGUAAUGGGUAAAGAAGCACCGGCUAACUACGUG
rnacentral:rRNA from 1 species